CCACGAGCGCGUCUUCAUCCCGACGCUUCGAGAGGAAGGAGGGCGCCGCCAUUUUGUCGGCAGGAGAAGGAAGCAGCGCCCGCGGUUUCUUCCCGCAUUUCGCUUUUCCCGGGAGACUGUCGCCGGUUCUUGAGCCUCCUUUGCUGGCCUCGCGCCACCGCAACAUCACGGCGGAGAUGUCGGAGUACAUCCGGGUUACUGAAGAUGAGAAUGAGGAACCGAUUGAGAUCCCGUCAGAAGAUGAUGGAACUGUGUUGCUCUCCACAGUGACUGCUCAGUUCCCAGGAGCAUGUGGCCUGCGCUACAGAAACCCUGUGUCCCAAUGUAUGAGAGGCGUCCGAUUAGUGGAAGGAAUUCUUCACGCGCCAGAUAAUGGCUGGGGAAAUCUAGUAUAUGUUGUUAAUUAUCCCAAAGACAACAAGAGGAAAAUGGAUGAAACAGAUGCCUCAUCAGCUGUCAAAGUGAAACGAGCCGUGCAGAAAACCUCUGAUCUGAUAGUAUUGGGUCUUCCAUGGAAGACAACAGAACAAGAUCUGAAGGAAUAUUUUAGCACAUUUGGAGAGGUUCUCAUGGUGCAGGUUAAGAAAGACAUCAAAACUGGCCACUCAAAGGGGUUUGGUUUUGUAAGGUUUACGGAUUAUGAAACCCAGGUGAAGGUCAUGUCCCAGCGCCACAUGAUAGACGGAAGAUGGUGUGACUGCAAACUCCCAAAUUCUAAGCAAAGUCCAGAUGAACCUAUGCGUAGCAGGAAGGUGUUUGUUGGGCGAUGCACCGAAGACAUGACUGCAGAUGAGCUCCGUCAGUUUUUUUCGCAGUAUGGAGAAGUGGUCGAUGUCUUCAUCCCCAAACCUUUCAGAGCUUUUGCCUUUGUUACGUUUGCUGAUGAUCAGGUUGCCCAGUCCCUUUGUGGCGAGGACUUGAUCAUAAAAGGAAUCAGCGUCCAUAUAUCCAAUGCUGAACCUAAGCAUAAUAGCAGUAGACAACUAGAAAGAGGUGGAAGAUUUGGUGGUAAUCCAGGAGGCUUUGGGAAUCAGGGUGGAUUUCCUAACCGGGGGGGAGGCGGUGGCGGUGGGGGGCUGGGAAACAACCAGGGCAGUAAUAUGGGGGGCGGGAUGAACUUUGGAGCUUUUAGCAUCAACCCAGCCAUGAUGGCAGCCGCUCAAGCAGCGCUCCAGAGCAGUUGGGGGAUGAUGGGCAUGCUAGCUAGCCAGCAAAACCAGUCUGGACCGUCGGGGAACAACCAGCCGCAAGGCAACAUGCAGAGGGAGCAGAAUCAGGGGUUCAGUUCAGGGAGCAAUUCCUACGGAGGCUCAAACUCCGGCGCAGCCAUAGGGUGGGGCUCAUCAAACACAGGCUCCAGCAGCGGGUUUAAUGGGGGUUUUGGCUCAAGCAUGGAUUCCAAAUCAUCUGGCUGGGGCAUGUAGGCACCCUAAUACUGAUUCUGUGCUGGGAAAUCAGAUUUUUCUUUCCCCCCCCCCCCCCAGAGCUCCCGGUAAGUAUAUUAUAAGAUGCAUAUACUAAAAAAGGGGGGAAGAGGGGGAAUCCAAACCAGUUUGUUCAGCGUGUAGUAUAUUUCAACAGUAUUUUUGACACAUUUUUUUUCUUUUGUAAGGAGGGGGAAAAAAGAGAAAAGAUUAAAUGGAAUUUUAUAGGUUUUGUUACCAUGAGUUGGAAUACAUGAGUUUUGGGGGGGUAUGGAGUGGUUGGGAGUGGACUGCUGUUUGCCUGAAUGGUAAACGGACGCGCUGCAAUUUGAUAGGAAUUUGUAAAAAAGAGCAAAAGAAAAAAAUCCUAAAUUCCUCGUUUUUCCUAGUCAGCUGAGAUGUUUUUGUUUUUUGCAUGUUUCAAGAAUGGAAGCUGUUUUUCAGAAACCGCGUCCUGUCCUUGUUAGCUCUUUUUUCUUUUCUUUUUUAAACUUUAAUUUGAUCCCCCGCCAUAAGAAUUUCUCUCUCUCUUUCUCUCCCUUCCCGUCCCCCCCAAAUGUCCUGUGUGGAGAAUGCAAUGUUGGUGUCGGCUUUUUUUCCUUUUAACACUGUCUCCCCUCCUCAUACUAAAGUACGGUAUGAAGACCUCAUUUAAUCCUUGCAGUUCAUCUCAUUUCAAAAACAAAAAAAUGUGUUUGGAAGAAGCACUUCAUUCUGAGAGAGAAAAAAAGCAGUGCAGUCAAAACAAAACACGCGCUCAAAACAAAAAACUAUCCUGCCUUAGGAAUCCUCCUGUCUCCAUGCUUUCCUCCUCAUCCAAGGCUCCCUUCAUCGCGCUGCACAUGCUCCGCGUCUUAAGACGGUGGGUGUCCCAUUUUUAUCCGCUACUCUUUUUUAUUUCAUGGAGAGUCGUACCCGACGCUGUGAACGCAAGGCUGUGAGAUGGAAACCGGAAGGCUUGUUUGAACUUUUGGAAACCUUGUGUGGGAUUGGAUUGGUGGUGCCGAGGAAUGAGAGGGCGUGGUAUGUGCGAGCAAAAGGCGGAGGCGCAUGCAGAGAGAGACUUGGUGGUGCAUAAUGGGAUCUUUUCCUUUUAAAUAAAAGCGUGUGUUUUUUCCCCCCCGAUGUCCCUGGAUCCUGUGGCUUUGGUGAGAGAGUGUGCGGAGAGCAAUGGGAGCGGACGUACGAGUGUUUUUUUCUUUCUUGGCAUUCAGAAGGACAUCCCAAUCUGGAAGAACUUAAAACGGGGGGGAGGGCUUUUUACUUAGUUAAUUAAUUAGUUGAAUGUGUUAAGUGAAAUGAAUAUCUGUAUCUUCAUUUUUUUUCCUUCUUCUUUAUGUCAAUUUCUGCUGUGAAUGCUGUAUGGUGUGCGUUCCUUUCUGUUUAAUGAUCCUGUAAGUGUGGUAAUGUGAACUGAAGGUGGGGCUUUUCGUGGACGAGAACCUCCGGCUCGCCGUGUGCUUUGCGGACCUUGUCGCAAAGGACACUCCUGAGCCCGGAUGUUCCCUGACGGGUGGAAGUUUCUUUGUUUGUAAGAUAUCCAUAUGAAUGCUGUUUGCUGCAGUUCUGUGUUUGGGUGCUUUUUAUAAGAUUUGUCAAUGUAGGAAAUUCUUAAAUAAAACUGAUUUAAGUAAUAUGUGUGUGUGUUUGACAGCUGCCCCCCCCCCCAAAAAAAAAGUGCAAUGAGUUCAUAGCUAUUAACUUUAAAACAAUGCAUCUUGGGAUAAAACUGCUGUAAAAAAAGAAACCCUUCAUUUUGUUUUAAGUUUGCCUCUUUCAUUGAUUGUAGUUGCUAUUCUCUAGCUCAGCUCCAGUCCCAUCUUCAUAGCGUUUUUGUGAUACACAUCUGAAACCCGGUUCUGCCAUCGGAGCAUUUGCACUAAUACCUGCUACUGCUACUGAGUAACACUUAAUAUGGUAUUCUCGGAUCUCCAAAGACUAAACUGUGUCAUCCUGGGAAGGAGCAUGAGGAAAACCCAUUAAGGAGGGAAAGACAGAACGGCUGCACAAUGAUGCCUUUUGACUGGUAGCGCUAGGAUCCGGCUAUUUGGAAGCACCCCAAGUCUCAUGAGAACGUAAGAAGAGCUCUGCUGGACCAGACGGAAGGCCUGUCUCACCCAGCCUCCUCCUGUUUCCCACAGUGGCCAAACGGAAGCCCAUGAGCAGGACAUCCGACGUAGAUUUGCCCACAAAACUCCACCAAGGCCCACCUUUGUUUUGUAAAGAAAGAAAAAAAGCCUUCUUCUACCUGUUGUGUUGUAUCUGAGCUUCCAUCCAGUGUGGACUCCAGAAAGGUCCGUGGCGAACUGAAUAUCCACAAUGUGGCUGCGUGUUUCGAUUUUUGGAGGAAGCGUUUCCCCGCAGAACGGGCCGAACUCUUGCUUGGGUGUUUUUAUCUGGAACAAGGAAAGGAAAACACAAACCAAACCGCACUACUUAACUUAGGCCUGUCUGUUUUCGACGUCCAUGUGUUGGCAACCUGUGCCUGUCUGUUCCCGCAUGAUGAAGAUGCUCUCGCUUUCUCUCCUCCCUCUCCCGCCAUCUUUGUUUGCCCUUUUCUGCUUCCAUGUGGAUUUUUUAAAAUAAAAUUAAAUUUAAAAAAACAA